GAUGAACGCUGGCGGCGUGCCUAAUACAUGCAAGUCGAGCGAACGGACGAGAAGCUUGCUUUUCUGAUGUUAGCGGCGGACGGGUGAGCAACACGUGGAUAACCUACCUAUAAGACUGGGAUAACUUCGGGAAACCGGAGCUAAUACCGGAUAAUAUUUUGAACCGCAUGGUUCAAAAGUGAAAGACGGUCUUGCUGUCACUUAUAGAUGGAUCCGCGCUGCAUUAGCUAGUUGGUAAGGUAACGGCUUACCAAGGCAACGAUGCAUAGCCGACCUGAGAGGGUGAUCGGCCACACUGGAACUGAGACACGGUCCAGACUCCUACGGGAGGCAGCGGUAGGGAAUCUUCCGCAAUGGGCGAAAGCCUGACGGAGCAACGCCGCGUGAGUGAUGAAGGUCUUCGGAUCGUAAAACUCUGUUAUUAGGGAAGAACAUAUGUGUAAGUAACUGUGCACAUCUUGACGGUACCUAAUCAGAAAGCCACGGCUAACUACGUG
rnacentral:rRNA from 1 species